GCCUAACACAUGCAAGUCGAACGGUGAACCCCUUCGGGGGGGAUCAGUGGCGAACGGGUGAGUAACACGUGAGCAACCUGCCCCUGACUCUGGGAUAACCCCGGGAAGCCGGAGCUAAUACCGGAUAUGACACGCUCGGGCAUCCGAUGCGUGUGGAAAGAUUUAUCGGUUGGGGAUGGGCUCGCGGCCUAUCAGCUUGUUGGUGGGGUAAUGGCCUACCAAGGCGACGACGGGUAGCCGGCCUGAGAGGGCGACCGGCCACACUGGGACUGAGACACGGCCCAGACUCCUACGGGAGGCAGCAGUGGGGAAUAUUGGACAAUGGGGGAAACCCUGAUCCAGCGAUGCCGCGUGGGUGAAGAAGGCCUUAGGGUUGUAAAGCUCUUUUACCCGGGAUGGUAAUGACAGUACCGGGAGAAUAAGCACCGGCUAACUACGUGCCAGCCGCCGCGGUAAUAC
rnacentral:rRNA from 1 species